ACCUCUGCUGCAAGUACUUUUCCAACAACCCUACGGAUUGAUAUUCCAUCUUUGUUGCGCUAUGUCAGCAGUGAACUGGCGUCAAUGGUGCUUCGUCGAUGACCGAGUGGAAACGAGAGAGACGAUGUUGACAGAGCAAAGCAGAAAAUCAAGUAGCUAGAGAGACGAACAGAGACGGGUGAACGCGAUCGAGCGGCCGAGAAGGGAUGUCGGGAAGCGUAUAGGAUCGUGUGUAUGCUAGAAGGAAGAGAAGAGAAGAGAAGAGAAGAGAAGAGAAGAGAAGAGGAUGAGCUCGCGCGUCGCUAUACCGAGAUUCGCGAACGUAUGAGCAACUGCGUGUACGCACACAAGAGACACGGUUCGAGUCUGGCGAUAUGGCUGCAGGCCGGUCGCUGUGACGCGGUGGACCACGCCGGAGAUACUGGGGGAUAGUCGGUGACGGACUGCCGGACAUCCGACCUGUUACCCCCUCGAGCGUCCUCCACAUCAGCCGCCUCCUCUCACGCCUCCUCUUCCCCAACUUCCUACCCCCUUUCGACUGGUAGCGAGCGGAACGUUGCCCGACAACGUCCUCUCUACUCGCGUCCCUUCAUCUCCAAUAGCUGAUUCCUGGUUGGUACGCCGUAACUGCGUGUGCUCCAGUUGAUCGGUCAAUCGAAUCGCUACGAUCUAUCUGCGGACGAUCACGGCCCUUCAGUCUGGUUACGUCGAUGUUUCGACUAGUCAGGAUGUCAGAUAAAUUGUACAAAUGAUUUUGGAAUCAGCUUAUGUCUCGCCUGCACACGUGCUUCUGUGAUAUCAACUAUCCCGUUAAUACAAUGCCAAACUCACUGAGUCCUGAAAUUAAU